rnacentral:rRNA from 1 species
UACGAAGGGGGCGAGCGUUGUUCGGAAUUACUGGGCGUAAAGGGCGCGCAGGCGGCUCAUUUUGUCAGGCGUGAAAGCCCCGGGCUUAACCUGGGAGGUGCGUUUGAUACGGAUGGGCUGGAGUUCGGGAGAGGAGAGCGGAAUUCCCAGUGUAGAGGUGAAAUUCGUAGAUAUUGGGAAGAACACCGGUGGCGAAGGCGGCUCACUGGCUCAUAUCUGACGCUCAGGCGCGACAGCGUGGGGAUCAAACAGG